UAGCUCAGUGGUUAAGGCAGGUCAUUAGUAUGCACAAGGUUGUGAGUUUGAAUCCAG
rnacentral:tRNA from 14 species